rnacentral:rRNA from 1 species
AUUGAACGCUGGCGGCAGGCCUAACACAUGCAAGUCGAGCGGUAACAGGAAGUAGCUUGCUACUUUGCUGACGAGCGGCGGACGGGUGAGUAAUGUCUGGGAAACUGCCUGAUGGAGGGGGAUAACUACUGGAACCGGUAGCUAAUACCGCAUACGCCCUAGGGGGGAAAGCAGGGGACCUUCGGGCCUUGCGCGAGUGGAGGAACCCAGGUGGGAUUAGCUAGUUGGUGAGGUAAUGGCUCACCGAGGCGACGAUCCGUAGCUGGUCUGAGAGGAUGAUCAGCCACACUGGAACUGAGACGCGGUCCAGACUCCUACGGGAGGCAGCAGUGGGGAAUAUUGCACAAUGGGGGAAACCCUGAUGCAGCCAUGCCGCGUGUGUGAAGAAGGCCUUCGGGUUGUAAAGCACUUUCAGCGAGGAGGAAAGGUUGGUAGCUAAUAACUGCCAGCUGUGACGUUACUCGCAGAAGAAGCACCGGCUAACUCCGUGCCAGCCGCCGCGGUAA